rnacentral:rRNA from 1 species
AGAGUUUGAUCCUGGCCCAGGAUGAACGCUAGCGACAGGCUCAACACAUGCAAGUCGAGGGGCAGCGGGGGCGUAGCAAUAUGCCUGCCGGCGACCGGCGCACGGGUGAGUAACACGUAUGUAACCUGCCCUAUGCAGGGGGAUAACCCGGAGAAAUCCGGCCUAAUACCGCGUAACACCUUAGGGGAGCAUUCUCUUGAGGUUAAAGGAGAGAUCCGGCAUAGGAUGGACAUGCGUCGCAUUAGGUAGACGGCGGGGUAACGGCCCACCGUGCCGACGAUGCGUAGGGGUUCUGAGAGGAAGGCCCCCCACACUGGUACUGAGACACGGACCAGACUCCUACGGGAGGCAGCAGUGAGGAAUAUUGGUCAAUGGCCGAGAGGCUGAACCAGCCAAGUCGCGUGAGGGAAGAAUGUCCUAAGGAUUGUAAACCUCUUUUGUCGGGGAGCAAAAAGGCUCUGCGGAGUCGUAUUGAGAGUACCCGAAGAAAAAGCAUCGGCUAACUCCGUGCCAGCAGCCGCGGUAAUACGGAGGAUGCGAGCGUUAUCCGGAUUUAUUGGGUUUAAAGGGUGCGCAGGCGGCGUGUCAAGCAAGCGGUAAAAUAGCGGGGCUCAACCCCGCCGAGCCGUUUGAACUGGCGCGCUUGAGUUCAGGCGAGGUAGGCGGAAUUCGUGGUGUAGCGGUGAAAUGCAUAGAUAUCACGAAGAACUCCGAUUGCGAAGGCAGCUUACCAGUCUGCGACUGACGCUCAGGCACGAAAGUGUGGGUAUCGAACAGGAUUAGAUACCCUGGUAGUCCACACAGUAAACGAUGAGCGCUAGGUGUCCGGGUCGCAUGAGACUUGGGUGCCCGAGCGAAAGCGUUAAGCGCUCCACCUGGGGAGUACGCCGGCAACGGUGAAACUCAAAGGAAUUGACGGGGGCCCGCACAAGCGGAGGAACAUGUGGUUUAAUUCGAUGAUACGCGAGGAACCUUACCCGGGCUCAAACGACUCAGGAAUAUAUUGGAAACGAUGUAGCCAGCAAUGGUCUGAGUCGAGGUGCUGCAUGGUUGUCGUCAGCUCGUGCCGUGAGGUGUCGGCUUAAGUGCCAUAACGAGCGCAACCCCUACCGCCAGUUGCCAACGGGUAAAGCCGGGAACUCUGGCGGGACUGCCGGCGCAAGCUGUGAGGAAGGCGGGGAUGACGUCAAAUCAGCACGGCCCUUACGUCCGGGGCGACACACGUGUUACAAUGGCAGGUACAGCGGGAAGCCACCUGGUGACAGGGAGCGGAACCCGAAAGCCUGUCUCAGUUCGGAUUGGAGUCUGCAACUCGACUCCAUGAAGCUGGAUUCGCUAGUAAUCGCGCAUCAGCCAUGGCGCGGUGAAUACGUUUCCGGGCCUUGCACACACCGCCCGUCA